GGGGGCUUAGCUCAGCGGGGAGGGCGCCUGCUUUGCACGCGGGAGGUCGGCGGUUCGAUCCCGCUAGUCCCCACCA
rnacentral:tRNA from 1 species